rnacentral:lncRNA from 1 species
GAGUUGUAUGGAGAUACAAUUGAUAAUUAUAUCUACCCAAAUGUUUUAUUAGGAUUUGUUGAGUACACUCAAGAUCCCGAUACAACGAAUGGGAUCUCAGCCCACUGUGAAUCAAGUGUGGAUUCAAAUAAUUUGUGUAUGAGGGUCAUGAAUUUAUUUUGGACAGUGGGAGCAUGUUUAAUUAAAGUCCAUAUUGAAUUUAUGCACAUGCAUUAUAAUACAUAUUAAUUCUAUUUUUU